rnacentral:rRNA from 1 species
GAUGAACGCUGGCGGCGUGCUUAACACAUGCAAGUCGAACGAUGAAGCCCAGCUUGCUGGGUGGAUUAGUGGCGAACGGGUGAGUAACACGUGAGUAACCUGCCCUUAACUCUGGGAUAAGCCUGGGAAACUGGGUCUAAUACCGGAUAGGAGCGUCCACCGCAUGGUGGGUGUUGGAAAGAUUUAUCGGUUUUGGAUGGACUCGCGGCCUAUCCGCUUUUUGGUGAGGUAAUGGCUCACCAAGGCGACGACGGGUAGCCGGCCUGAGAGGGUGACCGGCCAAAGGGGAAGGGGGAACGGGCCAAGGCGCAAAGGGGGGGAAGGGGGGGGAAAAAUGAAAAAAGGGGAAGAAGCGGGAGGGAGGGAAGGCGGGGGGGGGAGGACGGCUUUGGGGUGAAAAACCUUUUUAGGGAGGAAAAAAGGGAAAGGGAGGGUAACAGCAAAAAAAACAAGGGUAAAAUAGGU